rnacentral:rRNA from 1 species
GGAAUUGAAGUAGCAAAUACCAUGCUUCCAGGAAAAGCCUCUAAACUUAUGAUAUAGCGAACCGUACCCCAAACCGACACAGGUGGUCAGGUAGAGAAUACUAAGGCGCUUGAGAGAACUCGGGUGAAGGAACUCGGCAAAAUUGUACCGUAACUUCGGGAGAAGGUACGCCCUUGCUUGU